rnacentral:rRNA from 1 species
AGCAGCCGCGGUAAUUCCAGCUCCAAUAGCGUAUAUUAAAGUUGUUGCAGUUAAAAAGCUCGUAGUUGAAUUUCGGGGUUAGUAGGUUGGUCAUGCCUCUGGUAUGUACUGGUCUCACUGAUUCCUCCUUCCUGAUGAACCUUAAUGCCAUUAAUUUGGUGUUUUGGGGAAUUUGGACUGUUACUUUGAAAAAAUUAGAGUGUUUAAAGCAAGCUAACGCUUGAAUACAUUAGCAUGGAAUAAUGAAAUAGGACGUUCGAUCCUAUUUUGUUGGUUUCUAGGAUUGACGUAAUGAUUAAUAGGGAUAGUUGGGGGCAUUAGUAUUCAAUUGUCAGAGGUGAAAUUCUUGGAUUUAUUGAAGACUAACUACUGCGAAAGCAUUUGCCAAGGAUGUUUUCAUUAAUCAAGAACGAAAGUUAGGGGAUCGAAGACGAUCAGAUACCGUCGUAGUCUUAACCAUAAACUAUGCCGACUAGGGAUCGGAUGAUGUUAAUUUUUAAUGGCUCAUUCGGCGCCUUAC